UCUGGAGGGCAGUGCACGCACAUGCACGCACACACCCGUGGACACCUGAUCACAGCUGAUAAACAGCUGUAGGGAGCUCCCAAGAGAAGAAUAAUUCUCUCCUGACCAGACAUGCACAGAAACGGAUACAACCCACCCAAAAUGCAAAGCAGCAGAUACCAGACAGAUGGCCUUGGAAACCUGAAGCUCUCCGUCUACAAGAAAGAAGUCCAACACCAUCAUCAGCACCGUAA
rnacentral:lncRNA from 1 species